rnacentral:lncRNA from 1 species
ACAUGCCUAAACUAGUUGUAGAAUUAUUCUAGUAACUGUCUAGAAUAGAUUUUAUAUUGAAUAGUUCAAUUUAAAUCUUAUUUUUCAGAUAUUAUAUGUGAUGUAUCAGAUCUGAAAGCAUGCUAAUUAGAUCAGAUUUUAAUACAUGAGAUGUAUGCAAAGCAUGUAUAAGUUAGAUCUGAAAUUAUAUAUGUGAUAUGUAACUU